rnacentral:rRNA from 1 species
UACGUAGGUGACGAGCGUUAUCCGGAAUUAUUGGGCGUAAAGGGCGCGCAGGCGGCUACGCACGUCCGUUGUGAAAUCGCUCGGCUCAACUGGGCGGGGUCAGCGGAUACGGCGUAGCUGGAGCAAGCUAGGGGGCAAUGGAAUUCCCGGUGUAGUGGUGGAAUGCGUAGAUAUCGGGAGGAACACCGGUGGCGAAGGCGGCUUGCUGGGCCGAUACUGACGCUGAGGAGCGAAAGCGUGGGGAGCGAACAGG